UACGUAGGGGGCGAGCGUUGUCCGGAUUUAUUGGGCGUAAAGAGCGUGUAGGCGGCCAGGUAGGUCUGCUGUGAAAACUCGAGGCUCAACCUCGAGACGUCGGCGGAAACCAUCUGGCUAGAGUCCGGAAGAGGAGAGUGGAAUUCCUGGUGUAGCGGUGAAAUGCGCAGAUAUCAGGAAGAACACCCGUGGCGAAGGCGGCUCGCUGGAACGUAACUGACGCUGAGACGCGAAAGCGUGGGGAGCAAACAGG
rnacentral:rRNA from 1 species